UACGUAGGGUCCAAGCGUUAUCCGGAAUCACUGGGCGUAAAGCGUGCGUAGGUGGAUGUUUAAGUGUGAUGUUAAAUCGCGGGGCUCAACCCUGUCGAUGCAUCGCAUACUGGACAUCUAGAGGACAGCAGAGGCAAGUGGAAUUUGUAGUGUAGCAGUGAAAUGCGUAGAUAUUACAAGGAACACCAAUGGCGAAGGCAGCUUGCUGGGCUACUCCUGACACUGAGGUACGAAAGCGUGGGGAGCGAACAGG
rnacentral:rRNA from 1 species